CUACACAUCCAGGAGGCAGCAGGCGCGCAAUUACCCAAUCCCGACUCGGGGAGGUAGUGACAAUAAAUAACAAUGCUGGGCUAUCGUAGUCCGGCAAUUGGAAUGAGAACAAUUUAAUCCCUUAACGAGGAACAAUUGGAGGGCAAGUCUGGUGCCAGCAGCCGCGGUAAUUCCAGCUCCAAUAGCGUAUAUUAAAGUUGUUGCAGUUAAAAAGCUCGUAGUUGGAUUUCGGGGCGGCCCGACUGGUCCGCCGCGAGGUGAGCACUGGUCGGCCGCUCUUCCUCUCGGAAGCCCCGACUGCUCUUCGUUGCAGUGGUCGGGGAGUUCGGGACGUUUACUUUGAAAAAAUUAGAGUGUUCAAGGCAGGCCGUCGCCUGAAUACAUUAGCAUGGAAUAAUGGAAGAGGACCUCGGUCCCGUUUUGUUGGUUUCUUGGACCGAAGUAAUGAUUAAGAGGGGACAGUUGGGGGCAUUCGUAUUUAAUUGUCAGAGGUGAAAUUCUCGGAUUUAUGAAAGACGAACGACUGCGAAAGCAUUGCCAAGGAUGUUUCAUUAAUCAAGAACGAAAGUUAGGGGUUCGAAGACGAUCAGAUACCGUCGUAGUCCUAACCAUGGACUAUGCCGACUAGGAUCGGUGGAUGUAGCG
rnacentral:rRNA from 1 species